UCUAGUCUUGGGAUUUCCAGCUAUAGUGUUACUUUCCCUUGAUGAAGAGGGCAUUUUCUCCACCUCUGUGCAUAGCUUCAUCAGUUUGACUACAGAAGAUAUGAUGUCUGCAAAUAAAUGUCCCCUACUGAUAUUGUUCAUGUUAGAUCUCCUGGUGGCACAGUUGCAAAGUUCCUCUGUUUUCAUCAAGUACUUCUGAAGAGUGCAUGCAGUCCUUGUGAUGAGUGAAGUGAAAUGGCAGGUAGCGUUAAGUUCUUCUGGGUUCUUGUGUGAAACAAAUUUGUACAAACAGCAUGGGUAGGACUUUCUGAAGGGACUCAUAACUUGGGGCAUCUUGCCAACAACCAUGUUUCUUGUGAAUGCCAAGAGACUAUUCUCAGGUAUCUCAGGCUUGUUUUGCCCAAAAGUGCUUAUCUCCUCAGAAAUUCUCCACCAAAUCUAUGUUGAAAAUUUUCUUUUUUUAUUGAGCCCCUUGUUCAUAUGCUUUGAAUAGAGGCUCUUGGUU